rnacentral:rRNA from 1 species
AGAGUUUGAUCAUGGCUCAGAACGAACGCUGGCGGCGUGCUUAACACAUGCAAGUCGAACGCGAAAGUUUUCUUCGGAAGACGAGUAGAGUGGCGCACGGGUGAGUAACGCGUAAGUAAUCUGCCCCGGCAUCUGGAAUAACUCACCGAAAGGUGUGCUAAUACCGGAUACGCUGGUAACAGGAAAGGUGGCCUCUGUAUAUGCUACCGUGCCGGGAGGAGCUUGCGUACCAUUAGCUAGUUGGUAGGGUAAUGGCCUACCAAGGCGACGAUGGUUAGCGGGUCUGAGAGGAUGAUCCGCCACACUGGAACUGAAACACGGACCAGACUCCUACGGGAGGCAACAGUGAGGAAUAUUGCGCAAUGGGGGAAACCCUGACGCAGCGACGCCGCGUGGAUGAUGAAGGCCUUCGGGUCGUAAAAUCCUGUCAGAUGGAAAGAAAUGCAGCAUGCCUAAUACGUGUGCUGUUUGACGGUACCAUCAAAGGAAGCACCGGCUAACUCCGUGCCAGCAGCCGCGGUAAUACGGAGGGUGCAAGCGUUGUUCGGAAUUACUGGGCGUAAAGGGCGCGUAGGCGGUUUGUUAAGUCAGAUGUGAAAGUCCACGGCUCAACCAUGGAAGUGCAUUUGAAACUGGCAGACUUGAGUACUGGAGGGGGUGGUGGAAUUCCCGGUGUAGAGGUGAAAUUCGUAGAUAUCGGGAGGAAUACCGGUGGCGAAGGCGACCACCUGGCCAGAUACUGACGCUGAGGUGCGAAAGCGUGGGGAGCAAACAGGAUUAGAUACCCUAGUAGUCC